rnacentral:rRNA from 1 species
AGAGUUUGAUCCUGGCUCAGGACGAACGCUGGCGGCGUGCCUAAUACAUGCAAGUAGAACGCUGAAGAGAGGAGCUUGCUCUUCUUGGAUGAGUUGCGAACGGGUGAGUAACGCGUAGGUAACCUGCCUUGUAGCGGGGGAUAACUAUUGGAAACGAUAGCUAAUACCGCAUAACAAUGGAUGACACAUGUCAUUUAUUUGAAAGGGGCAAUUGUUCCACUACAAGAUGGACCUGCGUUGUAUUAGCUAGUAGGUGAGGUAAUGGCUCACCUAGGCGACGAUACAUAGCCGACCUGAGAGGGUGAUCGGCCACACUGGGACUGAGACACGGCCCAGACUCCUACGGGAGGCAGCAGUAGGGAAUCUUCGGCAAUGGGGGCAACCCUGACCGAGCAACGCCGCGUGAGUGAAGAAGGUUUUCGGAUCGUAAAGCUCUGUUGUAAGUCAAGAACGGGUGUGAGAGUGGAAAGUUCACACUGUGACGGUAGCUUACCAGAAAGGGACGGCUAACUACGUGCCAGCAGCCGCGGUAAUACGUAGGUCCCGAGCGUUGUCCGGAUUUAUUGGGCGUAAAGCGAGCGCAGGCGGUUUGAUAAGUCUGAAGUUAAAGGCUGUGGCUCAACCAUAGUUCGCUUUGGAAACUGUCAAACUUGAGUGCAGAAGGGGAGAGUGGAAUUCCAUGUGUAGCGGUGAAAUGCGUAGAUAUAUGGAGGAACACCGGUGGCGAAAGCGGCUCUCUGGUCUGUAACUGACGCUGAGGCUCGAAAGCGUGGGGAGCGAACAGGAUUAGAUACCCUGGUAGUCCACGCCGUAAACGAUGAGUGCUAGGUGUUGGAUCCUUUCCGGGAUUCAGUGCCGCAGCUAACGCAUUAAGCACUCCGCCUGGGGAGUACGACCGCAAGGUUGAAACUCAAAGGAAUUGACGGGGGCCCGCACAAGCGGUGGAGCAUGUGGUUUAAUUCGAAGCAACGCGAAGAACCUUACCAGGUCUUGACAUCCCGAUGCUAUUUCUAGAGAUAGAAAGUUACUUCGGUACAUCGGUGACAGGUGGUGCAUGGUUGUCGUCAGCUCGUGUCGUGAGAUGUUGGGUUAAGUCCCACAACGAGCGCAACCCCUAUUGUUAGUUGCCAUCAUUCAGUUGGGCACUCUAGCGAGACUGCCGGUAAUAAACCGGAGGAAGGUGGGGAUGACGUCAAAUCAUCAUGCCCCUUAUGACCUGGGCUACACACGUGCUACAAUGGUUGGUACAACGAGUUGCGAGUCGGUGACGGCGAGCUAAUCUCUUAAAGCCAAUCUCAGUUCGGAUUGUAGGCUGCAACUCGCCUACAUGAAGUCGGAAUCGCUAGUAAUCGCGGAUCAGCACGCCGCGGUGAAUACGUUCCCGGGCCUUGUACACACCGCCCGUCACACCACGAGAGUUUGUAACACCCGAAGUCGGUGAGGUAACCUUUUGGAGCCAGCCGCCUAAGGUGGGACAGAUGAUUGGGGUGAAGUCGUAACAAGGUA